rnacentral:rRNA from 1 species
UACGUAGGGUGCAAGCGUUGUCCGGAAUUAUUGGGCGUAAAGAGCUCGUAGGCGGCUUGUCGCGUCGGCUGUGAAAACCUGGGGCUUAACCUCGGGUCUGCAUUCGAUACGGGCUGACUAGAGUUCGGUAGGGGAGACUGGAAUUCCUGGUGUAGCGGUGAAAUGCGCAGAUAUCAGGAGGAACACCGGUGGCGAAGGCGGGUCUCUGGGCCGAUAUUGACGCUGAGGAGCGAAAGCGUGGGGAGCAAACAGG